CCUUGACUCUCAGUUUCCUCUCUCAGUAAAUGGGCAUAAUAAUACCGGUCCAGCCUACGCUGGAGAAUUGUGAGGUGAAAAUGAAAUAAGCUAGGUGUGAUCAGGUGACUAAGUGCUGGCCAACAGUAUAUACUUGGAAGUCUUUCUUCUCCUCUUCUCCCUUCUUGCUGGCUGGAAUGUGUAUGUGAUGAGUGAAGUUUGAACAUCCAUAUUGCACUACAAGAUGAAGACCGCAUGCUAAAAAUGGUGGAGCAGCAAGACGGAAGUCUCCUGUAUCCCUGAUGAUUUUGUGAAGCCACCACUCCACCCUUGCACUGCCUAGCUCUGGAUUUAUUUUAUGUGUUGUUCCUGAAAGCACUCCCCCAUAAAACACCUGCAUGUGAAUCUCCAUCUUGAAGCCUGUUUCCUGGGAACCUGCCUAUAGCAUUGUCCUUUACCUAUUUCUCUGCAGUGCUACCUUUGUUUUAUUUUUAUUUAUUUAUUUAU
rnacentral:lncRNA from 1 species